rnacentral:rRNA from 1 species
AUGGAGAAGCUGGUCUCCUCAGCCCCGUCCCACGAACUGCUCGUCCCGCCGCCGGCCGUCUCUCUUCCCGUCAUCGACCUCUCCCUCGGCCGUGACGAGGUCCGCCGUGCCGUCCUUGACACCGGCAAGGAGCUCGGUUUCUUCCAGGUGGUCAACCACGGCGUCCCUGAGCAUGCGAUGCGGGACAUGGAGGCGGUGUGCGAGGAGUUCUUCCGCCUGCCGGCGCCGGUCGUGGCACCCUUCUACUCAGACGACAGACGCAAGCCCAACCGGCUCUUCUCCGGUAGCACCUUUGAGACCGGCGGCGACAAGUACUGGAUGGACUGCCUCCGCCUCACUUGCACCUUCCCCGCAGGAGACAGCAAGAAUCACUGGCCCGACAAACCCGAAGGAUUCCGGGAGGUUGUCGAGAAGUUCAUCGUGCUCACAAGAGGCAUGGGAAUGGGUCUCCUGCGGCUUCUCUGCGAGGGCUUGGGGCUCCGCCCCAACUACUUCGAGGGGCCCCUCGGUGGUAGUGAAACCAUCAUUGGCCUUAACCACUACCCGUCAUGCUCAAACCUGGAUCCGAGACUCGGCCUUGGGCUGCCGCCACACUGCGACCGGAACCUCAUCACGCUCCUCCUACCCGGUGUCGUCCCUGGCCUGCAGGUCUCAUACAAGGGCGAUUGGAUUACCGUUGAGCCCGUGCCAAACGCCUUUGUCGUCAACUUAGGCCUGCAACUUGAGUUAAUACAUCAUUUCUCAACAGAGCAAGUUGUUCGUUCAAGUAUCGGCGGAUCGAAUCAUCACUAUAUAUGUUGGUUCGCUCUUGCAGGUUGUGACCAACGGGGUUCUCAAGAGCAUAGAGCACCGGGUGAUGACCAACCCGGUGAUGCCACGAAUGUCGGUGGGGGUUUUCAUCCAGCCUGA